AUUGAACGCUGGCGGCAGGCUUAACACAUGCAAGUCGAGCGAGCGGCGGACGGGUGAAUGGUGUCUUAACACCUGGGUGAUGUAGCGGUAUGAGUACUGGAACAGGUGGCUAAUGCCGCAUACCAUCAUAUGUGGUGAGGUGGGAUUAGCUAGUGGGUGGGGUAAUGGCUCACCGAGGCGACGAUCCCUAGCUGGUCUGAGAGGAUGACCAGCCACACUGGAACUGAGACACGGUCCAGACUCCUACGGGAGGCAGCAGUGGGGAAUAUUGCACAAUGGGCGCAAGCCUGAUGCAGCCAUGCCGCGUGUGUGAAGAAGGCCUUCGGGUUGUAAAGCACUGUCAGCGGGGAGGCGUUACCCACAGAAGAAGCACCGGCUAACUCCGUGCCAGCAGCCGCGGUAAUAC
rnacentral:rRNA from 1 species